AAGCGUGCGAUUGGAUUGCACGUCUAAGCAGUAAGGCUGAGUAUUAGGCAAAUCCGGUACUCGUUAAGGCUGAGCUGUGAUGGGGAGAAGACAUUGUGUCUUCGAGUCGUUGAUUUCACACUGCCGAGAAAAGCCUCUAGAUAGAAAAUAGGUGCCCGUACCGCAAACCGACACAGGUAGUCAAGAUGAGAAUUCUAAGGUGAGCGAGCGAACUCUCGUUAAGGAACUCGGCAAAAUGACCCCGUAACUUCGGGAGAAGGGGUGCUCUUUAGGGUUAACGCCCAGAAGAGCCGCAGUGAAUAGGCCCAAGCGACUGUUUAUCAAAAACACAGGUCUCUGCUAAACCGUAAGGUGAUGUAUAGGGGCUGACGCCUGCCCGGUGCUGGAAGGUUAAGAGGAGUGGUUAGCUUCUGCGAAGCUACGAAUCGAAGCCCCAGUAAACGGCGGCCGUAACUAUAACGGUCCUAAGGUAGCGAAAUUCCUUGUCGGGUAAGUUCCGACCCGCACGAAAGGCGUAACGAUUUGGGCACUGUCUCAACGAGAGACUCGGUGAAAUCAUAGUACCUGUGAAGAUGCAGGUUACCCGCGACAGGACGGAAAGACCCCGUGGAGCUUUACUGUAGCCUGAUAUUGAAAUUCGGCACAGCUUGUACAGGAUAGGUAGGAGCCUUUGAAACGUGAGCGCUAGCUUACGUGGAGGCGCUGGUGGGAUACUACCCUAGCUG
rnacentral:rRNA from 1 species